rnacentral:rRNA from 1 species
UACAGAGGUCCCGAGCGUUGUUCGGAUUCACUGGGCGUAAAGGGUGCGCGGGUGGGUUGGCAAGUUUGAUGUGAAAGCCCCCGGGCUUAACCCGGGAAUGGCAUUGAAUACUGCUGAUCUGGAGGAUCGGAGGGGGGGGACUGGAAUUCUUGGUGUAGCAGUGAAAUGCGUAGAUAUCAAGAGGAACACCAGUGGCGAAGGCGAGUCCCUGGACGAUACCUGACACUGAGGCACGAAAGCCGGGGGAGCAAACAGG